CAGACCGCCUCCCCCCUGCAAGAGGAGAGACCCCUUCCGCCACGGCUUGAUUGCCGGUGGCUUUCCUUUCUUCCUUCCCCUGCGCAGCUGCUCACACACGCAGAUGCUGCUCUUCCUUCCGUCCCCGGACACGCAGGCAAGGCAAAGGCACCCACCACCAAAUAGGAAGGGGAGUUACUCCACCACCACCAGCAGCCUAGCCUAGCCUAGCACAGCACAGCACAGCACAGCAGUGGGAGGGGGAGGCACCAGGGCAGGGCAGGUCCGGAGAUGGAUGGAGACUUGUUGCAGCGCAGCCCACUGCAAAGCUCCAAAUUACAACACGGAGCCCAACCACCACUUAUACGCCACCGCCACCACCACCAGCAUCGCCACCACUUUCCCCUCCCCGAUCUCCUCCCCAAACCCUAACCCCCUCCCCUCGGAUCCGCGCAUGGAGGCGUGACGGGCCGGGGGGAUGGACGCCGUGCCGGAGGACCUCCGCUGCAAGCGCUCCGACGGCAAGCAGUGGCGCUGCAGCGCCCCUUCCAUGCCCGACAAGACCGUCUGCGAGAAGCACUACGUCCAGGCCAAGAAGCGCGCCGCCUCCUCCGCGCUACGCGCUACGCUCCGCAGGUCCUCCCCCUCCUACGCCGCCGCCUCCUACGCGCCGCCCCGUGAGGGCGACGCCGACGCUGACCUGCCCCUGCCAAUGGCUGUCGCGAGGCCCUUCUACGGCAGUGUCGUCGGGGAGCCUGUCUACGUGGCGGAGCCGGCGGUGCGGAGGGGGCUGCCCCUCAUCAAUGCUAUCGGCUCGCGCACCGCAGCGGAGCUAGUCGGGAGAGCCUCUGUAGGGCUGCAAGGCUGUGCCGAGGUGAAGACGAGUUGCCACCAAUGCCGGAGGAGUGUCAGUGCCGUUUGGUGUACCAGCUGUGACAGGAGGGGGUAUUGCGGCGGCUGCAUCUCCAGAUGGUACUCUGACAUUGCAAUAGAUGAUAUUCAAAAGGUUUGUCCAGCAUGCCGUGGCAUUUGUAACUGCAAAGUUUGCUUACAAGGAGACAACGUAAUUAAGGCAAGGGUGCAGGAGAUAUCUGUUGUAGAUAAGUUGAAAUAUCUUCAUAGCAUUUUGGCAUAUGUUCUUCCAGUGCUAAAGCAGAUUUACUCCGACCAAUGCUUUGAAAUAGGUGUUGAAACAAGAGCUUAUGGGCCCAAGAUGGACAUCAUUAGGGCAAAGAUGAAUUCUGAUGAGCAAAUGUGCUGUGACUUUUGCAAAGUGCCAGUGUUUGAUUAUCAUCGACACUGUCCAAGAUGUUUGUAUGACUUAUGCCUUGACUGUUGUCGAGAUAUUAGGCGCUCUCAGACAAAUGUAGUCAGAGGAGAAUAUGCUGAAAGUAAAGGUCCUGUGGUGGAGACAAAUAAAGAUAGUGCGAGUGACAGAGCAAGAUUGGAACCAUCUGCAGCAAGUGUCAACGAUAAGUUGUUCCCAGAGCCGAUAGAUGCAAAUGAUAUUGGCAUCAGAUCUUUGUUUCCUACAUGGAGAGCCAACAAUGAUGGCAGCAUCACUUGUGGGCCUCAUGAGGCUGGUGGUUGUGGCUCCUCAAAGCUGGUAUUAAGGCGAAUAUUCAAAAUAAACUGGAUUGGUAAGCUUGUAAAGAGUUCUCAAGAAAUGGUUAAUGGUUGCAAAGCACAUGAUCUUGAGAAUGGAUGCUCAUCCUGUCACGAUAGCAGAAGAUUGGACUCAAUUGGUCGCCAUAACUUUGGUCUCUCAAAAUGUUCAGAUAGUGAUGGUAUUGAUGGGAACUCUGUGUACUCUUCUGUACUGGAGAACUUAAAAUACGAGGGUAUUGUCCAUUUCCGUAAACACUGGAUAAAUGGGGAGCCUGUAAUUAUUAGGAAUGCAUUUGAGCCUUCUUUAUCAUCAAGUUGGGACCCGUUAAGCAUUUGGCGAGGAAUCCAGGAGAUCAUGGAUGAAAAAAUGGAUGAAAAUGCGAUAGUUAAAGCUGUGGACUGCUCAAACCAAUCAGAGGUGCAUAUCAAGCUCAACCAAUUUAUCAAAGGUUAUUCAGAUGGUCACAAGGGAGAAGAUGGCAAGUUAAUUAUGCUGAAACUGAAAGAUUGGCCUCCAGUGAGCGUAUUAGAGGAGUUUCUGUUAUGCCAGCGACCAGAGUUCAUUGUCAAUUUUCCCUUAGUAGACUUUAUCCAUUCUAAGUGGGGCUUUCUUAACCUUGCGGCUAAGUUACCCCCAGAUGCCCUACAGUCUGAAGUAGGCCUAAAGCUGCUUAUUGCAUAUGGAAGGCAGCAACAACCUGGUAAAAGCGAUUCAGUGACAAAUCUGAUGGUUAAGAUGGGUGAUGUGGUACACAUGUUAAUGCAUAGAGCUGAAAUGCGUUACCUAUGUCCAAAGAGUCUACAACCUGAGCAGCCGGAAAGGAUUGCCAAUGGGAUGGCAGUGCAUGUAAAUGCUCAUGCACCUGUGCAAAACUUGAAUCUGGAUAUGGGGGAACAAUCACCUGAACACACAGUUUCUAAGUCUUGCGGCCCUUCUGCAGGCUCUUCUGCUGAGCUAUCAAGUUCAUCACAUUCAGAGCAAGCAAAAACUAAUGGUGUAGAAAGAUCUCAGCCUGGUGCUCUUUGGGAUGUCUUCCGCAGGCAGGAUGUGCCGAUGCUGAAUAAAUAUUUAGCUUCUAACUGGGAGGAACUUACAAAUAACAGUCAGGCGAUGCUCUCUGUGAAGCAUCCUAUUUAUGAUCAAGCUGUAUAUCUCAGGGAGCACCAUAAAAGGGUAUUAAAGGAUCAAUAUGGUAAGUACACCAAAUAAAGAUUAUCGCUUUGAAGUUGGUAGAUGCAAUAGUUACCGACUUCCUUUCACUGAUGCACAAUAGCAGCUUGUUUCAUUUACUUUGCCAACUUCUCAGACUUGGGCAAUCCAUAAUACUACUUUAUUGCAAUACCACAUCAAGCAGAUGAUGUGCCAUCUACUCCCUCUGUCCCAUAAUGUAAGACGUUUUUUUACACUAGUGCAUUAUGGGACGGAGGGCGUAAAUUCCUACCGAAUCAAUAAAUGUAACUAUACCAAUUCUUUGCUCGAAAGAGAGCAACCAAAUGUCUGCUUGCUAGGUCUUGUUUACCAGGAAAUCCCAACCUGAUACUUCUAUCUACAUCCUUUUUGGUGUGGAAUAUGAUUUUUCGCCACUACUUGACUUUGAUGAUUUGCCACUGGUUACUUUGCAAAUGAUAUUUUGCCACUUCUUAGUUGGGACUUUGAGGAUUUGCCCUUUUACAGUCAAAAACAAUAGUAGUUACGAGUGUUUUAGAUAAUAUAUGCGCAAAACAGUGGACAACAAUACCCUUGUGCCUGUUUGACUGAAGAGGCAGAAAAAUAAGUAGAAAUCCCCAAUGUCCCAGCUCUUCCGCCUCUCAAGUUCUCUCUGCCGGCGCCAAUGAAGAUGAACUUGUAGAGGAGGUCCCAUGGUAGGUCCUGGGUGGGCGUGAACUAGCCACGGCCGGCACUGUGGAGACGAGCGAUAGGUGGCCCUCGUAGAGGAAGCCCGAGGGCCUGCACGGUGACAGCGGCGUCCCUGAACCGUGUGUAGCCAAGCGCGCCGCAGCGGCUGGGGAGCUGGAACGGCGCGGCGAAUGCUUCAGCAGCCCUGCCAGUCACCGCCGCUGCUGAUGCCCUGCCUGCCCUGUGCUGCUCUUGCUCGCCGCCGCGGCCACCUACUGGUUCUACAACAGGUACUGCUGGUUGCUGCUGCUGCACGUAGUGCUGCUGCUGCUGCUCGCACCUCUUGGCUCCACAGUGGUCAGCCGGGUAUACUCUUGUGUUCUGAACGACAGCUGAUGCAACACAUAGUCCUUUCGCUUGGAGAGCAGGAUAAAUCACUGAUGUGUAUUAGCGUCACAAAAUCCUGUGUUUGCUUCCAUGGAAGAAUCGAUCAGCUGCUUGCAUGCUUGCCAUGCUGCCAUGGAAUAAUCAAUCUAGCACUUCUUCUGUGGAUUGCUCACCGGCGACGGAUAGAGCCAGAGGCAUCAUAUCUUGGUCUGACGGGGGGACUGUGAUGCUGAGAUGUGGACCUGGCUCCUGGUCGUGUUGGCCAGCGUGACCAUGGCCGCCAACUCUGGAUCCGCUCCCCGUGGCAAGUCACAAGAGAGAUGGGGAAUGAACAAACAGGAAGAGCUUGUCUGUUGGCUUGGUCGAUCGAGGACAUGGGCAAUUUGGGGAUUUCAUGCGGGCCCCACCUGUAAGAGGCAAAUCCUCGAAGUCCCAAGUAAAAAGUGCAAAAUAUCAAUUGCAAAGUAGGCAGAGGCAAAUUGUCGAAGGCCCAAGUAAGCAGUGGCAAGAGAUCACAUCCCCCCCUUUUGGCGAAUUGUCGAAGUCCCACGAAUUGAACCUCGGACAUUUGAACAACAUAUUGGCGAGGCUGUUUUUAUUCCAGCUGGCUGUCCUUACCAAGUAAAAAAUCUCCAGUCUACGGUUCAGUUGGCUCUGGAUUUUUUGUCGCCUGAGAGUUUGCGGGAGUCGGCUCGUAUGGCCCAAGAGAUACGCUGCCUGCCAAAUCAUCAUGAUGCAAAACU